rnacentral:rRNA from 1 species
GAUGAACGCUGGCGGCGUGCCUAAUACAUGCAAGUCGAGCGAACAGACGAGGAGCUUGCUCCUCUGACGUUAGCGGCGGACGGGUGAGUAACACGUGGAUAACCUACCUAUAAGACUGGGAUAACUUCGGGAAACCGGAGCUAAUACCGGAUAAUAUAUUGAACCGCAUGGUUCAAUAGUGAAAGACGGUUUAGCUGUCACUUAUAGAUGGAUCCGCGCCGCAUUAGCUAGUUGGUAAGGUAACGGCUUACCAAGGCGACGAUGCGUAGCCGACCUGAGAGGGUGAUCGGCCACACUGGAACUGAGACACGGUCCAGACUCCUACGGGAGGCAGCAGUAGGGAAUCUUCCGCAAUGGGCGAAAGCCUGACGGAGCAACGCCGCGUGAGUGAUGAAGGUCUUCGGAUCGUAAAACUCUGUUAUUAGGGAAGAACAAAUGUGUAAGUAACUAUGCACGUCUUGACGGUACCUAAUCAGAAAGCCACGGCUAACUACGUG